GACGAACGCUGGCGGCGUGCUUAACACAUGCAAGUCGAACGGAAAGGCCUGCUUUCCCUUGUGGAUUGCGGGUACUCGAGUGGCGAACGGGUGAGUAACACGCGAGUGAUCUGCCCCCAACUUGGGUAUAAGCCUGGGAACCUGUGUCUAAUUCCCGAUAGGAACGCAGGGUGGUGCCUGUGGUGGAAAACGAUCUUCACGUGGAUGGGGACGAGCUCUCGGUCUAUCAGUUUGUUGGUGGGGUAAUGGCCUACCAAGGCGGCGACGGGUAGCCGGCCUGGGAGGGUGGACGUCGACAUUGGAACUGGGCUAGAGCCCAAAGUCCGGCGGGAGUCAGGAGUGUGGGAUAUUGCACGAUGGGCGGAAGCAUGAAGCAGGGGCGCGGGGUGGAGGAUGACGGCCUGUGGGUUGUUAUCUCCUUUCGACCGCGGGGAAGCCACCUGAUUGGAAGGGUGGUGACGGUAGUUGUAGAAGAAGCACCGGCUAACUACGUG
rnacentral:rRNA from 1 species